rnacentral:rRNA from 1 species
AUGGCUUUGGAAGAAAGCGCUACUACAAGUGGCAUGAUAAAACUUGAUUCUUCCAAUUACUCAUUAUGGAAGCCCAUGAUGGAAGACAUCCUUUAUUGCAAGGAUUUGUAUGAGCCAAUUGUGAAAGACAAGAUACCCACAGGUGUCACGGAAGAAGAAUGGAGAGUGUUGCACAGAAAGGCAGUAGGUAUGAUUCGGUUGUACAUCAACCACAAUAUUUUCCACCAUGUUGCAAAUGACACAAAUGCUUAUGAGAUGUGGCAGAAGUUGGAGUAUAUGUAUGAGAGGAAGACAUCAAUGAACAAGGCCUCGGUGAUCAAAAGACUUGCAAAGCUUGAGUACCGAGAUGGCACAAGUGUGAUUGAGCACUUGAAUGUCUUCCAAUGCCAUAUAAAUCAACUUUCAGCCAUGAAGAUCAACUUUGAGGAUGAGGUGCAAGCAUUGUUACUGCUGAGUUCCAUGCCUGAUAGUUGGAACACGCUUGUUGUGUCACUAGCAAUUCAGCUCCGGAUGGGAAGCUGA